CAGUAGCCGCGGUAAUACAGAGGUCUCAAGCGUUGUUCGGAUUCAUUGGGCGUAAAGGGUGCGUAGGUGGCGGGGUAAGUCAGGUGUGAAAUUUCGGAGCUUAACUCCGAAACUGCAUUUGAUACUGCCUUGCUUGAGGACUGGAGAGGAGACUGGAAUUCACGGUGUAGCAGUGAAAUGCGUAGAGAUCGUGAGGAAGACCAGUGGCGAAGGCGGGUCUCUGGACAGUUCCUGACACUGAGGCACGAAGGCCAGGGGAGCAAACGGGAUUAGAUACCCCGGUAGUCCUGGCAGUAAACGGUGCACGUUUGGUGUGGGGGGAUUCGACCCCUUCCGCGCCGGAGCUAACGCGUUAAACGUGCCGCCUGGGGAGUACGGUCGCAAGAUUAAAACUCAAAGAAAUUGACGG
rnacentral:rRNA from 1 species